rnacentral:sRNA from 1 species
AUCUUUUGUUUUCUUGGAACUUAUCAAAACCUAAACAAAAAUUAUGAAUGACGGAUUCAUUUAUUCGUAUCAUUUCCACCUUCCUUUUCGAUUCUUUGUUCUCUUAAGCAUAGUAGGUUUAAAGAUAGAAUUUGACAGAUCCUUUGUAAAUUAUCUCUGGAAUCCAAUUUUCUCGAUAUUCGAAAAAGAAAAUGGGGAUACUGGCAGCGACCGGAUGUUCAUAUAACAAAGAUCAUCUUCAAUCCUGUUCAACCACACCACCUCAGAUAUGUAACUUAGCUCUAUAGAAGGAGAGCGAUGAGGUACAUCUUUAGGACAAAUGGCAUAUGCGUGAAAUGGGCGAGACGGUUCUUUUUCGAUCCCAAACUUUCUAACGUAUUCUAAGGCCGAGGACACCAUCCAUAGAUAGCAAUAGUGGUUGUCGUAUUUCUGCGAGAGUGUUCUUCUGAAUUUGCGAAGUCCACUAAGUCUUGUAUCGAGUAUUCACAUUUCUUAGUGUCAAUUUUUUUCAUGUAUCAGCCCAACACACCUCUUUGAAAAGAAUAGAAAAAAGAUGUGUUAAAACCAAAUUUUGUUAUUUUCAUCUCUGUCGUGCGAUUAGAGCACCAUUAUCAGUAGUUGCUUAGAUUGAUUCUUAGAAAAUUUUGGUUAUA